rnacentral:rRNA from 1 species
AUGAAAGCGUGCUCGGCCCCGGGGCCGGAUGGCCUCCCGGUAGCCUUUUUCCAGAAAUUCUGGGAGAUCUUACGCCCGGUCAUUAUGCCCAUGUUCCAUGAGUUCUAUAUUGGAACCUUGGACAUGGCUAGGAUUAAUUAUGGUGGCAUAUCUUUGAUCCCCAAAGUAGUUGGGGCGACGGAUAUUCGGCACUUCCGCCCCAUCACGGUGAUCAACGUGUUGGAGCGAAUCUUUGCGAAGGUUUGCGCAACUCGCUUAUCCCCGGUGGCGGAAAGGAUUGCUCACCCCCUUCAGUCCGCAUUCCUGAAGGGUCGGCGGAUCCAUGACGGAAUUUUGCCCUUCACGAGAUCGUCCAUGAGGUUGCGUCGAAGGGACUUAAGGGGGUCUUCCUCAAAUUGGACUUCCAAAAGGCGUAUGACCGUUUGGACUGGUCCUUUUUGA